rnacentral:tRNA from 1 species
AAUAAAGUGCCUGAUUUAAAAGGGCUAUUUUGAUAGAAUAGAGCAUGUAUUUAUUUACCUUUAUUA